UACUAAUAUUUAUUAAUAGAAUUUGUUUUUAUCAAUUACAAUUUGUUUCUUUUCGUCCAUUAACAUUCAAUCUUUUCGAUUGUUGUCCCAAUUUAUUUCCAUAUUAUCGUAAUUAUCUCGAGCUGAAUACAUGAGUUAUUGGAUUGGAUUCUAUUGCUGUGAACAGUUGAUGAACAUUUGAAUUCUGUUGAAUUGACAGAGGAGCCUCAACGUUUGUAUUGGACGAGAAGAAAAGUUUAAAUUUCCAUCAACGAGAUAAUUGAUUGACUAAUUUGCUGAUCGAUUUUGAAAAUGGUUCUUGUUUGUGUUGUUUGCCGAAAGAUGAACUUUACUCCUGGAAAUGAGCCAGUCGAAUGUGCAAAGUGCCACAAAUUGUACCAUCAAAAGUGUCAUAAACCACCAAUUAGAGACACCGAUGUUAUUGGUCCUCGAACGAAAUGGUUCUGUGUCAAGUGUAUGAAAAAAAUGUUCUCGACUGGUAAUAAAUGAGUUAACAGAAGAAAAAACAACUAAAUCUAAUUAACGGGUAUUCAAUUUAUAAUAAAUUUAUUCGAAAAUCAUUUAAAUGUCCUAAAUUUCGUCUUGUAAAAAAUUCGUAACUGUAUUAUGAUAAUAAAGAAAACUUAACUAAAUGCCAA